rnacentral:rRNA from 1 species
GACGAACGCUGGCGGCGUGCUUAACACAUGCAAGUCGAACGAUGAAGCUGGAGCUUGCUCCGGUGGAUCAGUGGCGAACGGGUGAGUAACACGUGAGCAAUCUGCCCUUCACUCUGGGAUAACUGCGGGAAACUGUAGCUAAUACCGGAUACGAGACCUUGGGGCAUCCCAGGGUCUGGAAAGAAUUUCGGUGAAGGAUGAGCUCGCGGCCGAUCAGCUAGUUGGUGAGGUAAUGGCUCACCAAGGCGACGACGGGUAGCCGGCCUGAGAGGGUGACCGGCCACACUGGGACUGAGACACGGCCCAGACUCCUACGGGAGGCAGCAGUGGGGAAUAUUGCACAAUGGGCGAAAGCCUGAUGCAGCAACGCCGCGUGAGGGAUGAAGGCCUUCGGGUUGUAAACCUCUUUUAGUAGGGAAGAAGCGCAAGUGACGGUACCUACAGAAAAAGCACCGGCUAACUACGUGCCAGCCGCCGCCGUAA